CCAAUAGCGUAUAUUAAAGUUGUUGCAGUUAAAAAGCUCGUAGUUGAAUUUCGGGGUUCUUCCGUUGGUCAGGCUAACAAGUCUGUACUAGCGUGUAGAAUCUCUACCUUCUGGGGAACCAUCAUGUUAUUAAUUUAGCGUGGUGGGAAACCAGGACCUUUACCUUGAAAAAAUUAGAGUGUUCAAAGCAGGCUUACGUCUGAAUACAUUAGCAUGGAAUAAUAAAAUAGGACGGUGGUCCUGUUUUGUUGGUUUCUGAAUCACCGUAAUGAUUAAUAGGGAUAGUUGGGGGCAUUAGUAUUCAAUUGUCAGAGGUGAAAUUCUUGGAUUUAUUGAAGACUAACUUCUGCGAAAGCAUUUGCCAAGGAUGUUUUCAUUAAUCAAGAACGAAAGUUAGGGGAUCGAAGACGAUCAGAUACCGUCGUAGUCUUAACCAUAAACUAUGCCGACUAGGGAUCGGACGAUGUUAAAUUUUAUUGACUCGUUCGACGCCUUACG
rnacentral:misc_RNA from 1 species